AUGGGAGACCUCCAUCCAACACGGGAGUCCUCCAUCCCACACAGGAGACCUAAAUCCACACGGGAGUCCUCCAUCCCACAUGGGAGUCCUCCAUGCCACACGGGAGACCUCCACCCCACACGGGAGUCCUCUAUUCCACACAGGAGACUUCCAUCCACACGGGAGUCCUCCAUCCCACACGGGAGUCCUCCACCCACAUGGGAGACCCCACCCCACACGGGAGUCCUCCAUCCCACAUGGGAGACCCCCACUCCACACGGAGUCCUCCAUCCCACACGGGAGACCUCCAUCCCACACGGGAGACCCCCAUCCAAUUGGAGGCCUCCCUUCCCCACCGGGAAGUCCUCCCUUCCCACCAUGGAAGACCUCCUUCCCGCACGGGGAGCCUUCUCCACCCCAUACGGGAGACCCCCACCCCACACGGGAGACCUCCACCCCGCAUGGGAGACCCCCACCCCACACGGGAGACCUCCUUCCACACAGGAGACCUCCAUCCCACACGGGAGACCCCCACCCCACACGGAGACCUCCAUCCCACAUGGAGACCUCCAUCCCACACGGGAGUCCUCCACCCCACACGGAGACCUCCAUCCCACACGGGAGACCUCCACCCCACACGGAGACCUCCAUCCCACACGGGAGACCUCCACCCCACACGGAGACCUCCAUCCCACACGAGAGACCUCCACCCACACGGGAGUCCUCCAUCCCACACGGGAGACCUCCACCCCACACGGGAGACCUCCCUCCCACACAGAGUCUUCCAUCCCACACGGGAGACCCCCACGCCACACGGGAGUCCUCCAUCCCACACGGGAGACCUCCACCCCACACGGAGACCUCCAUCCCACACGGGAGUCCUCCAUCCCACACGGGAGCGUCUGGCCCCGCUUCCUCCUAGUGAACACCAUGGGAGCUGCAUCGAUGGCUCAAGGACUGGUGUCCCCGCCACCGCUUGGAGACCCGGAUAGGGUUCCCAGGCCGGUUGCUGCUUGCAUCUGAGAAGUGACCGGCUGGCCAAGAGAUUCUGUCUGUCCCUGCCUGUCUCUCUCCGCCUUUGAAACGCAUCUCUAAAAAGUAAAGAACCAUUUGUCUUAAACGUCCAGGAUGCCAGAACAACUCGGACCUGCGCGCCGCUGGCCCUGGGAGGCUACUGCAGUCGGUCUGGCACCAAGACGGAAACGUGGACGAAGCCCAAAAGGGACAGUUUCCAGGGUCCUGACGGAGCACUGGCACCGGGACCUAGGCCCGCGUCCGCGCUGCCGGGAAUGGAAGCGGGGUGCAGGCCGGCGCCCGCUGACCUCCCAGGGGGCGCGCAGCAGCGCUACCCGGGCCACAGAGGCCUCAAGGGGAACGCAAACAGCGCGCCAGGGAGGCGAACCUGCGGCUCACUGCGCCUCGUGCUGGAUCCACUGGCCGGCUCGGACCCCUUCGAGACUCGGGGCCGCGGAGCCCGGCACACGGCCCUCUCGGGUCUCA
rnacentral:lncRNA from 1 species